CAUGGUCUUAGCUUGCUAAGGCCGAUGGCGACCGGCGCACGGGUGAGUAACACGUAUCCAACCUGCCGUCUACUCUUGGACAGCCUUCUGAAAGGAAGAUUAAUACAAGAUGGCAUCAUGAGUCCGCAUGGGAUGAUUAUUAAAGAAUUUCGGUUGUCGAUGGGGAUGCGUUCCAUUAGAUAGUAGGCGGGGUAACGGCCCACCUAGUCUUCGAUGGAUAGGGGUUCUGAGAGGAAGGUCCCCACAUUGGAACUGAGACACGGUCCAAACUCC
rnacentral:rRNA from 1 species